UUCAAUAUUCAACAAUUUUUAGAAAAUUGUCUUAUUGGCAUGUGAGUGUAUAUUAAUAAUCCAUUUGUAUAUUACGUAAUAUUCAUACAGCAUUCUAGAGAAUACUAAGAUUCGUUUCUCACGCCUAUUAUUUUAUGCAAAACAAGAAAAUUAAUAACGUUCCACCACAUUAUAUUAAACAUUUAUUAAACAUCUACAAUUACAUGCAAUAAUCAUGAUGGCUGUGGGUAGAAAACAUAUUGAACUUGCUUUGAAGUGGAUUCCAUCAGCAGCUAUGUAUAGCACUGGAGCUAGCCUUGGAUUGCUAUAUUUCACUGAUUGGAGACUUGUACUUCAAUAUCUUCCCUAUUAUAGAGGAAAAUUCCAAACAUAAAUGAGAUUCCAUAGUAUUGAUAUUG